rfam:Chlorocebus sabaeus isolate 1994-021 chromosome 8, whole genome shotgun sequence.
UUUGAGGUUUUUUUAAAAACCAUACAUUGAAAUACAUAAAGGCUAU